rnacentral:rRNA from 1 species
AAUCUUCCGCAAUGGACGAAAGUCUGACGGAGCGAUGCCGCGUGAGUGAUGAAGGUCUUCGGAUCGUAAAACUCUGUUGUUAGGGAAGAACAAGUAUCGGAGUAAUAUGCCGGUACCUUGACGGUACCCAUGGAGGAAGCCCCGGCUAACUACGUGCCAGCAGCCGCGGUAAUACGUAGGGGGCAAGCGUUGUCCGGAAUUAUUGGGCGUAAAGGGUGCGUAGGCGGCCUUUUAAGUCAGAUGUGAAAGCCCACGGCUCAACCGUGGGAUUGCAUUUGAAACUGGAGGGCUUGAGUAUCGGAGAGGGUAGUGGAAUUCCCAGUGUAGCGGUGAAAUGCGUAGAUAUUGGGAGGAACACCAGUGGCGAAGGCGACUACCUGGACGAUUACUGACGCUGAUGCACGAAAGCUAGGGGAGCAAACA